rnacentral:lncRNA from 1 species
AUCUUAUAGGAGAUUUCUAUGCACCUGAGGUCUUCCUAAGGAUGUGUACAGCAUGCUCAUUUGUCUGGAACCUCUGAAUUCUUCAUCAACAAGACUGACAGAUAACAGUUCUGACCAGCUUGGCGAGUGCUAUGCAAAAGCUUGUGACUUGUGCUGCUGCUGGAACAUGGGAGGGCCUCUUAUCUGAACAAUUUCUAGUUGAGUUUGUAAUCCUUACUGCCUGAAAGGGACAACUGGUCAAGACAAGCUCCCUGAAGCCGGCUUUCACAGGAACACAUUUGAGUCACUGACACUUCAAAAUAUGAACAGACGGAACACCACAGUGUCAGGGUUGGCUGUGUUCAUCUGGGAAAGCCCUGCCUCUACAAACCUGACCUAACCUGACCUAACCAAACAUGAGAGUGGCUGAAUAACCUGCUAAUAAGUACAAAGAACUGUGUUUUUACAAAUACACAUUUACUUGACAAAUGAGCAAAGAUCCAGCGUAACAUCGAAGGAGUGCUUUCCACCAUUGCUGUAGAUAGAGCAGAUAUGUGCACCAUGUGAUAUUUCCCAAUGUAAAUGUUUUCCCAAAAUCGACAGAACUGCAUUCCCCUCCCCCCCCCCCCCCCCCCCCCCCCCCCCCCCCCCCCCCCCCAGUCUCUAUAGGAAGAGGCUGUGGCCUUGCAGUUCUCAUUGCUUAAGUGGGUGGUGUAGGUGAUCCUGCUCUGUUGUGGCUGUGGAGGAUGGAGCUCUGUGGUCAGUUCUUUCCAGUUGCAUUUUUUUGUUCUCUUUCUGGCAGCGCUGUGCUAUUCUGCCUUGUACAUGGCAGUCACUUAACAGUCUCUUUAUCUUCAAGUUAAUUAAGAUCAGGGCUGGCUGAGCACUUUUCAAUUUAAAAUAAAGAGCAAAGGCAAUAUUCUGUUUUCAAAACUAUGUCCCUAAUAUGUCCCUAAACUUCCAAGUUCUUAAUGGAAAAAAUAUGGGGUUUCAAAGACCUUUCCCCCUGUACUUUUUGUUCUUUCUCUGUUCUCUGUCCCUUGUUUCAAGCUUUUUUACUAGGAACAAAACUGGAAAAAAGGGUACAGAGAGAUAGGAAAUAUAAAUUUUUUUUUCAAGUCUCCCCAUGCAAGUACCUGACUUUCAAUCAGUGCAGGUUGGAACCAGCUGCAAAUUCAUUCCCGUGGCCCCAGUACGCCUGCACUGUGCAGCACCUCUGCCCUCUUCUUGAU